CUGCUCACUUCAGCAACACCUAUCCUAAAACUGGAACGACACAGAGAUUAGCGUGGCCUCUGCACGAGGAUGACACAAAAAUUCAUGAAGUGUUCUGUAGUUUU
ensembl:snRNA U6 U6 spliceosomal RNA